UACGUAGGGCGCAAGCGUUGUCCAGAAUUAUUGGGCGUAAAGAGCUCGUAGGCGGCUUGUCACGUCGGGUGUGAAAGCCCGGGGCUUAACCCCGGGUCUGCAUUCGAUACGGGCUAGCUAGAGUGUGGUAGGGGAGAUCGGAAUUCCUGGUGUAGCGGUGAAAUGCGCAGAUAUCAGGAAGAACACCCGUGGCUAAGGCGGUUCUCUAGUACGGUACUGACGCUGAGACGCGAAAGCGUGGGGAGCGAACAGG
rnacentral:rRNA from 1 species